GGGAGGCAGCAGUAGGAAUAUUGGACAAUGGGCGCAAGCCUGAUCCAGCCAUGCCGCGUGCAGGAUGAAGGCCCUAUGGGUCGUAAACUGCUUUUGUACGGGAAGAAACGUCACUACGUGUAGUGAUUUGACGGUACCGUGAGAAUAAGGAUCGGCUAACUUCGUGCCAGCAGCCGCGGUAAUACGAAGGAUCCAAGCGUUGUCCGGAUUUACUGGGUUUAAAGGGAGCGUAGGCGGACUUUUAAGUCAGUGGUGAAAGCUUGCAGCUUAACUGUAAAAUUGCCAUUGAAACUGAAAGUCUCGAGUAUGGUUGAGGUGACUGGAAUAUAUCAUGUAGCGGUGAAAUGCUUAGAUAUGAUAUAGAACACCAAUUGCGAAGGCAGGUCACUAAACCAUAACUGACGCUGAGGCUCGAAAGCGUGGGGAUCAAACAGGAUUAGAUACCCUGGUAGUCCACGCCCUAAACGUUGAAUACUCGAUCUUAGCGAUAUACAGUUAGGAUCCAAGCGAAAGCGUUAAGUAUUCCACCUGGGAAGUACGAUCGCAAGAUUGAAACUCAAAGGAAUUGACGGGGGCCCGCACAAGCGGAGGAGCAUGUGGUUUAAUUCGAUGAUACGCGAGGAACCUUACCUGGGCUUGAAUGUGAGUGACCGAUGCCGAAAGGUGUCUUCCCUUCGGGGCACAAAACAAGGUGCUGCAUGGCUGUC
rnacentral:rRNA from 1 species